CCUACGGGAGGCAGCAGUGGGGAAUCUUCCGCAAUGGGCGAAAGCCUGACGGAGCAACGCCGCGUGAAGGAAGAAGGCUUUCGGGUUGUAAACUUCUUUUAAGGGGGAAGAGCAGAAGACGGUACCCCUUGAAUAAGCCACGGCUAACUACGUGCCAGCAGCCGCGGUAAUACGUAGGUGGCAAGCGUUGUCCGGAUUUACUGGGUGUAAAGGGUGUGCAGGCGGCUGAGUAAGACAGAUGUGAAAUCCCCGGGCUUAACCUGGGAACCGCAUAUGUGACUGCUUGGCUAGAGUGCGUCAGAGGGAGGUGGAAUUCCACGUGUAGCAGUGAAAUGCGUAGAUAUGUGGAAGAACACCAAUGGCGAAGGCAGCCUCCUGGGACGCAACUGACGCUCAUACACGAAAGCGUGGGGAGCAAACAGGAUUAGAUACCCGUGUAGUC
rnacentral:rRNA from 1 species